UACAGAGGGUGCAAGCGUUAAUCGGAAUUACUGGGCGUAAAGCGCGCGUAGGCGGCUGCCUAAGUCGGAUGUGAAAGCCCCGGGCUUAACCUGGGAACUGCAUUCGAUACUGGGCGGCUAGAGUAUGAGAGAGGGAGGUAGAAUUCCACGUGUAGCGGUGAAAUGCGUAGAUAUGUGGAGGAACACCGAUGGCGAAGGCAGCCCCCUGGGUCAAGAUUGACGCUCAUGCACGAAAGCGUGGGGAGCAAACAGG
rnacentral:rRNA from 1 species